GAUGAACGCUGGCGGCGUGCCUAAUACAUGCAAGUCGAGCGAACAGACGAGGAGCUUGCUCCUCUGACGUUAGCGGCGGACGGGUGAGUAACACGUGGAUAACCUACCUAUAAGACUGGGAUAACUUCGGGAAACCGGAGCUAAUACCGGAUAAUAUAUUGAACCGCAUGGUUCAAUAGUGAAAGACGGUUUUGCUGUCACUUAUAGAUGGAUCCGCGCCGCAUUAGCUAGUUGGUAAGGUAACGGCUUACCAAGGCGACGAUGCGUAGCCGACCUGAGAGGGUGAUCGGCCACACUGGAACUGAGACACGGUCCAUACUCCUACGGGAGGCAGCAGUAGGGAAUCUUACGCAAUGGGCGAAAGCCUGACGGAGCAACGCCGCGUGAGUGAUGAAGGUCCUCGGAUCGUAAAACUCUGCUAUUAGUGAAGAACAACUGUGUAAGUAACUAUGCCCGUCUUGACGGUAACUAAUCAGAAAGCCACGGCUAACUACGUG
rnacentral:rRNA from 1 species